rnacentral:rRNA from 1 species
UACGUAGGGUGCGAGCGUUGUCCGGAUUUAUUGGGCGUAAAGGGCUCGUAGGCGGCGUGUCGCGUCGGGGAGUGAAAGCCCGCUGCUUAACGGCGGGUUGGCUUCCGGUACGGGCAUGCUGGAGUGUGGCAGGGGAGACUGGAAUUCCUGGUGUAGCGGUGGAAUGCGCAGAUAUCGGGAGGAACACCUGUGGCGAAAGCGGCUCACUGGACCAUAACUGACGCUGAUGCACGAAAAGCUGGGGGGAGCAAAACAGG